rnacentral:lncRNA from 1 species
AUUUCGGAGUAAAGUAUAAUAUGUGCUAUGGUCCAUGUGACGACAAAGGAGUGUGUGAGCCGUAUUGUCAUACCAAAAAAGGUCUGAUAAGGGGAGACUGUGCUGGCAAACGAAAAGGUUAUCUUGGCCUUUGUUGUUGUGAUGAACACUAAAUAAAAUAUUAAAUAAUAUCAUUAGAUAUUAUAUCUUGUAUGAAAUGAAAUAAUAUUACCAAUAAUACAUAAAAUGCUUUUACAAAAAAAAUAUAAAAUGUUAUCAAAUUGAAGUUACUUUGAUUAACCUCGAGAAAACAUUAGUCAAAGUUGCAUGUCUUUUCUAAAAAAACAUUAAUAAAAGUAUAGUAAAUAUCUAUACUAUUAUUUUCUAAGUAAAUUUUCGCAAUGUAGCUCUCACGUUGAAAGUUAGAGUGGUUAAUAUCGUUUAUACCCUUAAUGAAUAAAAUGUAUAAAUAAAUUAAAAAAUAAAAACAAAAUUUAAAUUGAUUUUGAUUAGAUAAUUGAUUAAUAUUAAAAAUAGUUAGAAUUAUCCAAAAUCUGAAAAUAUCAUUUAAAAAAGAGAUAAUUUAUGUAUAUAUUGUAUUGCUAUCUGAAAAAGUCUUUAAGUAAAAAAUUAAAAACAUAAAUUCUAUAAAUAAAUAUUAAUUAAAUAAAAUUAAUAAUUAUAUAAUUAAAAAUAGAAUACUGAAUUAUCCAAAAUCUUAAAAUAUAAUUAAAAAGAUAAUUUCUAUAUAUAUUGUAUUGUUAUCUGAAAAAGUAUUUUAGUAAAACGUUAAAAACAUAAAUUAUAUAAUUAAAUAUCAGUCAAACAAUUUUUUUUAAUUUUAUAAUAAAAAAAAUAUUAUUUGCAAAGUAAAUUUUCGCAAUGGAGCUCUCACGAUGAAAGUUAGAGUGGUUAAUAUUGUUUAACACUUAAUGAAUAAAAUGUAUAAAUAAAUUAAAAAAUAAAAACGAAAUUUUAGUUGAUUUUGAUUAGAUAAUUGAUUAAUAUUAAGAAGAGUAAGAAUUAUCCAAAAUCUGAAAAUAUAAUUUAAAAAAGAGAUAACAUCUCUAUAUAUUAUAUUGUUAUCUGAAAAAGUCUUUAAGUAAAAAUUUAAAAACAUAAAUACUAUAACUAAAUAUUAAUUAAAUAAAAUGAUUAAUUAUAUAAUUAAAAAUAGAAUAUUGAAUUAUCCAAAAUCUAAAAAUUAUAAUUAAAAAAGAUAAUUUCUAUAUAUAUAUUGUAUUGUUAUUUGAAAAAGUAUUUUAGUAAAAUGUUAAAAACAUAAAUUAUAUAAUUAAAUAUUAAUCAAAUAAUUUUUAAUUAUAUAAUAAAAAAUAUAAUAUUAAGUUAUUUUAAAAUUUAUUUUAGAAAUUAAUCUAUAUAUAUAUAAAUAUGUUUGCGUCUCUCAUAAGCUAUCCACGUGGAAAGUCACUCUCUCACAAGCCGACACGUGUCUCUGGGUUUUAUUUCUUUGGCUCGACUUGAGUUUAACUUUGGGCCUAUACUAUGAACAAUUGACAGGGCGUUUUACUUUUUAAUAUUAUUGAAUGUGUUAAUUAUUUCUUAAUACAUAGUAGAUAAAACAAAAAAACACACAUUACGAUAUGGAUGAUAUAUUAUCAUCAAAGCAAUCUUUACCAUAUGUACCUCAUCCUGUGAUAAUUUAAAAAGUCGCAACGAAUCUAUGAGUUCAGUAAAUUUGCAAUUACCUACUUGAGAAUUUUAAGUAUAUAAAUAGUCAACAGUAGUGUGUUGAAUAUUAUAUUAAUAUGAUUUAAAAACCUUUACAAAUUUUUAUUUUUAAACAUACACCAAAAACUUUAUGAAAGUAAAUAUCUAUGGAUGCAUACAUAAAUAUUAAGAGAAAUAUGUAAAAGGAAAAAAGAGUAACAAUAACUUGAAGAACAAAAUGUACAAAACUGAGAAUAUUUAUGAUUUGUAAUCUAAGAUAUAUUCAAUUUAUUGUCACAAAAAACUUAAUAAGAAAUACAUACUUUGUUUUAAGAACAUUAAAAAUCACGUUGAAUUUUUUAACAUUUUAAGAAAAAUUAUGAAUCAAUAAUAUUAAUAUAAAAUUUUAUCCAAAAAACUCAGCACUAAAUGCAUAAACAAAAAAACAAACAGACCCUAAACCCUAUAAUCCUAAGCAUUAUUAUAAACCAAACCCUAAACCCAACCUAAACCAAACGCUAAACCUUUCCUACUAUCUAAACCCUAAAUCCUACCUAACUCUAAACCCUACAUAAACCUAACCCUAAUCCCUAAACCCUUCCUACUACCUAAACCCUAAACCUAUCUAACCGUAAACCUACCUAACCCUAAACGUAAACCCUACCUAACCCUAAUCCCUAUUUCACCCUGAACCCUACCAAACCCUAAACCCUACCUAACCAUAAAACUCUACCUAAAACCUAACCCUAACCCUAACCCUAAACCCUACCUAAACCCUACCUAACCCUAACACUACUUAACUCUAAACCCUACUAACCCUACCUAACCUAAACCCUACCUAACCCUAAACCCUUUCUAGCCCUAAACCCUACAUAACCCUAAACUAUACUGACCUUAAACCCUACCUAACCCUAAACCCUACCUAACCCUAAACCCUACCUAACCCUAAACCCCUUCAAACCCUCCCUAACCCUAAACCCUACCUAACCCUAAACCAUUUCUAGCCCUAAAUCCUACAAACCCUAAACCCUACUAACCCUAAACCUUUUCUAACCCUAAACCCUGCUAACCCUACCUAAUUCUAAACCCUACCUAACCCUAACCCUAAACCCUAUUAACCCUAAACCCUACCUAACCUAAACACUACCUAACCUAAACCCUACCUAACCCUAAAAAAUUUCUAACCCUAAACCCCUAAACCCUACUAACCCUAAACCCUACCUAACCCUAAAUCCUACCUACCCUAAACCCUACCUAACCCUGAACCCUACCUAACCCUAAACCCUACGUAACCCUAAACCUAACCCUAAACACUACCAACCCUAAACCCUACCUAACCCUAAACCCUACUAACCCUAAACCAUACCUAACCCUAAACCCUACUUACCCUAAACCCUGCCUAACCCUAAACCCUGCCUAACCCUAACCCUUUCUAACCCUAAACCCUACCUAACCUAAACCAAGCUAACCCUAAACCCUGCCUAAACCUAACCUUAAAACCCUACAUAGACCUAACCAUAAAUCCCAUCUAACCCUAAAACUCUUCCAACCCUAAACACUAAAAAAUAAUCUCAAAACUGAAAGCUAAAAAAUCCUAAACUCUACCGCUAUGUAAUUUGUUGUUGUGAUAUUCAAAUAACAAAUUACAUAGCGGAAUUCAAAUCUUACAUCAAUUAUUUUAAUUGCCAAAAUAUUUUGAAAGUUGAAUCUUAUGAAUAAAAAAAGUAAAUUAUAUUUUAAUAACGUUAAAUUUUGUUAAAAUAGAAUGAAAAACUAUUAUCAUAAAUAAAUAAAAAAAUUUGAUGAAAUUUGAAAAUCUUCUAAUCAAUAACAAUUAAUUAGUAAUUUUUCAAAAACCCUUAAACUAUUAUAGCAGUAGAAUCUCAAAAAAAAAAAAAUCUCAAACAUUUAUUUGCCAAUAAUCAUCCUUAAAUCUUUGCUCAUUCAAAAAAAUAAUAUUAUUUACAUAAAUUGGAAACAAGUUUUGUUUUUUGACUAGAGACCCAAGUUUAAACUAUACCACUAAAUAUUAAAAUAUUUAAUUGUUCAGGAAUAACAAGUUAUUGUUCUUAAAACAAUAAUCAUCCUUAAAUCUUUACUCAUUCAAAAAAAUAAUAUUCUUUACAUAAAUUGGAAACAAGUUUUAAUUGUUUUAAAAUAUAUAUAUUUAUAUAUUCGAGAGUAGACAAUGCAUAGAUGAUACUAAAUUGAUCGCAAGAAUUCUUUUUGGAAAACACUCUCGAAACCUGUUCUUGGACUCAGCAUGCUGACCCAUUCCGUGGACUGUUCGGGUGAUUUUGGCCGGCGUGGGCUGUCUGUGCAGUAGACACAGGACGUCUGCUGCAAUGUAAAGUCUAAAACGACUCUCGGCAACGGAUAUCUCGGCUCUCGCAUCGAUGAAGAACGUAGCGAAAUGCGAUAUAGUAUAUAUUAUAAUAGAUGAGUUUUUACUCAAUUCUCAGCCUAUCCACCUCAGCAUGUGGAUCCCACUAAAUUUCUAUGUAUUAAAAAAAAAUUAUGUUUAAAACUGUUUAAUAACGAGUAUAGGUUAAUAUCUAAUGGGCUUCAUCAUAAAAAUCAAAGAAAAGACCCAAUUGAAAUCUAUUGUUUUUUUUAGUUUCGUAAGCGUCGUCUUCCUAGGAGAAAAAAAAAUAGGGCUUUCCUCCAUUCCUUCAGACAAAUCUCAAAACACAGAAUGACCUUUUGUAUUUUUAAUUACAACUAUUUUUAUGGAUUUGAGUGAGUAGAUCGAGAGAAACAAUGAUGUAAAUAAAGUUUAUUAAAGUUUAAUGUUAUUAUAAGUAUUGAUAAUCAAU